UACGAAGGGGGCUAGCGUUGCUCGGAAUCACUGGGCGUAAAGCGCACGUAGGCGGAUCGUUAAGUCGGAGGUGAAAUCCUGGAGCUCAACUCCAGAACUGCCUUCGAUACUGGCGAUCUUGGAGUCCGGGAGAGGUGAGUGGAACUCCGAGUGUAGAGGUGAAAUUCGUAGAUAUUCGGAAGAACACCAGUGGCGAAGGCGGCUCACUGGCCCGGUACUGACGCUGAGG
rnacentral:rRNA from 1 species